rnacentral:rRNA from 1 species
UACGUAGGGUGCGAGCGUUAAUCGGAAUUACUGGGCGUAAAGCGUGCGCAGGCGGUUUUGUAAGCCAGAUGUGAAAGCCCCGGGCUUAACCUGGGAAUGGCAUUUGGGACUGCAAGGCUUGAGUGCGGCAGAGGAGACUGGAAUUCCUGGUGUAGCAGUGAAAUGCGUAGAUAUCAGGAGGAAUACCGGUGGCGAAGGCGGCAUCCUGGACCGAAACUGACGCUGAGGCGCGAAAGCUAGGGGAGCAAACGGG